GAUGAACGCUAGCUACAGGCUUAACACAUGCAAGUCGAGGGGUAACGAGAGGAAAGCUUGCUUUCCUUGUCGACGACCGGCGCACGGGGGAGUAACGCGUAUCCAACCUGCCCCCAACUAGGGAAUAACCUUGCGAAAGUAAGACUAAUACCCUACAAUAUCAUCAGAUGUCAUCUGACGAGGAAUAAAGCUUUAUCGGUUGUGUAUGGGGAUGCGUCUGAUUAGCUUGUUGGCGGGGUAACGGCCCACCAAGGCAACGAUCAGUAGGGGUUCUGAGAGGAAGGUCCCCCACAUUGGAACUGAGACACGGUCCAAACUCCUACGGGAGGCAGCAGUGAGGAAUCUUGGUCAAUGGGCGGAAGCCUGAACCAGCCAAGUAGCGUGCAGGAUGACGGCCCUAUGGGUUGUAAACUGCUUUUAUACAGGAAUAAAGUUAGCCACGUGUGGUUAUUUGUAGGUACUGUAUGAAUAAGGACCGGCUAAUUCCGUGCCAGCCGCCGCAGUAA
rnacentral:rRNA from 1 species